UUCUCUCUCUUGUAAUUUUUUAAUCCCAAUUCAAUAUGUUUGUUUCCUAAUUAAUGCUUAAUUUGUUGGUUGUUUCUUGAAUUUUUGAAGAUUAUGAUAUUCUAUGAUAUCCCAAUAUAAAAUUUCAUUUUCUUUUCCUUAUAGUAUACAAUUAAUGUGCAUUUGUAGUUAUAAUUUUCACAGUGCUUUUGUUAGCUUGUAUUAUGAACAUGGGUUUUGGAACUUAUUUUGGACCGUUUUCUUGUUUAUCAGUUUCUUAGUGGAUUAUUGUUUUCAAUUAUGUAAUUCUGUUGGUUUAGAUAAUUUCAUGGUGAAGGAAUACAUGGUUUGAGCAUUAUUUCAAUUAUGUUUACGUGUGUCAAAGGAGUUGAACAAGUGGUGUAAAGCUUAUGGAUAGGCUUAAUUUUGGUUGAAUUAGAGGAUGUUUUGAGAAUGACAUGAUAAACAUAUCAUUUGCAGAAUAAUGAAAGUUUAGACUCUAUAUAAGACUUAGGUCGCGUUCUGCUCAACUGAUAAGAAUAAUGAAGUGGUGAAUUAUAUAGAUAAGACUUAGGUCGUGUUCUGCUCAACUGAUUUCGACUUUUUAAGGAAAAAAAAUGAGUAUAGGAUGAAUUGGUGAAUUAUGUAGAUAAGACUUGGUUAGUGUUCUCUUCACAACUUUGUUAGUUGAUUAUAUAUAGGUUACAAUUUGUAAAGUUCUAUUGCUAGGGCAGUAGGGCUUGGUUAUCUAUUACUAUUCGCGAUGGUUAAUUGGUUAUGAUGGGUUUCAUAGAGCUCUACUGCUAACCUAUAGUGUGACUGUUGAGGAAAUAUGGAGGCAAAGAGAGUGGAGAGAGAGUUAGGGUUCUACUUUAAGGGAGCGCAUCAAAGCGAUCAUCUUCGUCUGCCUUUUAAUUAACCAAAUCCCUUCACUAGUGGAAUAGUUUGGAAAUAAUGAAAGAAAAAAAACUGAAAGCUCACACCCCUUUUCUCUUCUGUUUCCCUCCCGUUUUCUUCCAUCCACAAAUGCUAACCAAAAUUGUUGAUGGGCUUUUGUUGCAGGGUUGAACUAAAUUAUGCCUGUGAAAGGGUGUUGAUGCACAAAAGUGUUCUUUGCGAUCCAUCACGGUAUAGAAUUCGUAACUAAUUUGAAAGAUCUAUGAGUUCUAGUGUAACGAUAUGGAUUCAAUUUUUUUGAGGUCUAGAUUACAUUACCCCGGACCUGGCAGGCUAAUUUUCAGCCAAGGUGUAUAUCACAAGUUUAUUAUGGACAAAAAGCAGGUGAACUUGUCCAGAGUCUGUGUGAAAGUGCAUUUUGAUUCAGCUAUUCACCUAAGGAAACCGCCUAAAUAUCUACGGUAUCCACGCCGCACCAAGCUUCCUCCUGAUUUUCGGAUUGAUACAUUCAUAAAACCAGGGAAGGAGGUCAAGGACCAUGAAAUUGAUGUGCCAGUUGACUGGAGAUCUAAUGAUCCAGUUGAAAAAAUUGCUUUCGGUGAUGAUAAAGAUAAUGAUGACGGAGAUAAUGAGGAUGAGGAUGAUUAUGAUGUUUGGGAAGCUGAUGAAAUUGAGGCGAUAUCAUCUCUUUUUAAAGGAAGGAUACCCCAAAAACCUGGGAAGUUGAAUAGGGUAAGGCCACUUCCGCUAUCUCUUCCACAUAAAAUUCGACCAUUGGGAAUUCCAACAACAAAGAAGCAUGUUAGAAAUUCUUCACCAGCAGUGCUUUCAAGACUUUCACUAUCAAAGCAAAUAUAUAAGGACCCAACUUUCUUACUCCAUUUGGCAAGAGAAAUUAGAAGCCUUCCUGCAGAGAAAAAUGUCUCCUUUGUUCUCAAUAAAUGGGGUAGAUUUCUACGCAAGGGAUCCUUGUCUUUGACCAUCCGGGAGUUGGGUCACAUGGGCAUUCCUGAUAGAGCCUUGCAGACUUUCUGUUGGGCGCAGAAACAAAACCACCUUUUCCCAGAUGAUCGUAUCCUGACAGCUACUGUUGAAAUUCUGGCAAGGACUCAUGACCUGAAAUUACCCUUCGACCUGGAGAGGUUCACUGAUUUAGCUAGUCGAGGUGUUUUAGAAGCAAUUGCCAAGGGAUUUAUUAAAGGAGGAAGCUUGAAUCUUGCAUGGAAGCUUCUAUGUGCAGCCAGACGUGGUAAAAGAAUGCUGGACUCCAGCAUCUAUGUCAAGUUAAUAUUGGAGCUUGGGAAAAACCCUGAUAAAGAUGACUUAGUUGUAGCCUUACUUGAAGAUCUCGGGGAGCGAGACAAUCUGAACAUAACCCUGCAGGAUUGCACUGCCAUUAUGAAAGUUUGUGUUAGGCUUGGGAAGUUUGAUUUCGUGGAGUCCUUGUUUAACUGGUUUCAACAAUGUCAGAACCAGCUAAGCAUCGUUAUGUAUACUACUGUGAUAUAUAGCCGUGUUUCCGCUAAUAAGUACAGGGAAGCAUUGGCUUUGGUUUGGGAGAUGGAGCAAUUGAAUUGUCACUUUGAUUUGCCAGCAUACAGGGUGGUGAUUAAGCUAUUUGUUGCUCUCAAUGACCUCCCUAGGGCAGUGAGAUAUUAUUCUAAGAUCAAGGAGGCAGGUUUCUCUCCAACAUAUGAUAUUUACCGGGACAUGAUCCUAAUAUACCUGCUUUCUGGGAGGUUUGCUAAGUGCAAAGAAGUCUGCAAGGAAGUGGAGCUGGCAGGAUUCAAAUUGGAUGCUGACUUGAGGUCCCAAUUGUUGCAGAUUGAGAGAAAAUAAUUGUCAGCUUUGCAUUUGAGAGCACAUGGAGACCUGGGGGAACUUCUUGAAUCCUGACAGACUCGCCUUUUGGCCUGUUGGUGAUGUAAAUCAUGCUUUUCGAUGGAAGAUCAGCUACUAUGAGGUUGAAGCCGUUGAAUUCGUGAGCCUCUUUUGCUAGUAUCUCUGCAAAUUCUCUAGGAUUUUGUUUACUCUGCAACAAUGCCCAGAAAAAUGAGUUGAUAUAGCAAAUAGCUAUGAGGGCUUCCUAAUUUAUCACUAUGAUAUGCAUAUAGUUGCAUGUCACUAUGUCAGAGUGGCAUUUCAUGUAAUUUUGAGGAAAGUGAUUGGAAUUUUGAGAAUUAUGGCGAAAACGAGGGGUUUUAUUUUGGGGAGUUGACAAAAAAAAUAUCCCCUAUUUUCCCUAUUUUACCCACAAUGUCACUAUGAUAUACACUAGUUCACAUAAGGCAUUCAUAAAUUUGGAGUUUCAUAUUAUUACACUAUUUUUGUCUUCGAAGAACUAGAGUGAAGCUCAGAAUCAUUCAGAAAUGUUAAUACAAGGUGACAGGUAUAUAUGGAGUUGAAACUAAGAAGCCGAGUAACUCACCUUGAGAAAACGAACUGGUAGCUCUCCUCGGGAUUUAGCUUCAGGAAGGGGGUGAAGCUCCAGAACGUUGGUAACAAAGGCCACCUUUCCCUUUUUUGAACACGCGAGCCAGGUUCCUCCUCCCACCUCAUCUCGGCCUCCCAAAAUCUCUCCUCCUUCCCACCACCCUAGUGGCUUUGUCGGCCUGUAUAGCAUUGCCAUAAAAACACAAGACAUUAACAAUCUUUGUAUAUAGUGCUAUUGUUAAUACAUCCAAAGGUCUUAUUAGAACGAACCAAGCUGGAAAAACCACAGCUUAUACAACGUACGUAUAUUAAUGUAUUA